AGUAAGGUAGUUUAAAUAAAAUGUUUGUUUUACACACAUAAGAUGAGUUCUGCUCUAUUACUA
rnacentral:tRNA from 1 species